UCUAAGUCAUGAAGAAGCUGGUAUACUGAAUAUAGAUCCUAUUAAUGAUCCGAAUACAGAGACAAAAAAUCAAAAUGGAAGUACGUUAGAUAAUGGUUAUAAAAAAUUAGAAACGUAUCUGACCAAUAAUGGGCUGUACCCUUCAUCUGAGUUUUUUCAUAAUAACGCUAAUAUAGGUCGUUUAUUUAUGUCAAAUAUGAAUAACCAUUCUCUACUUAAGAAUAUGGGUUACUCUGUACUCUUUAUUAAUUAUACUAAACAAAAUCAGAAAAACUCAAAAGCUAUUAUUGAAGGAAAAUUUUUUACAUGUCAAAAUAAUGAAGAAAACCAAUGUCAUCAAACCUUUUAUAAGUCAUAUGAUCUUACUGCUCCUAAUGACGAAAAUGAUAAGCAUUAUAAAACCAUACGUACGCUAUCGGAUAUUUACACUAGACAUAUAGAUAUUAAAGACACAAAUUUCAAAACAGGUUACGUCGCACAACUUAUAAGGUAUACACAAACAAAAAUAGAUGAUAAUAUAUUUUUUGCAUUAGACGGAAUAAUCUUCAUAUGUGUAGGAAAAGACAAUGGUUCAACAUGUAGAAUGAAAUAUCCAUAUGAUAUGCGUAACGAUUAUCCAAAUUUGUGUGAGAAUUUUGAAUUAAUGCAAAUCCCUAUAACUGUAAAAUCUAAAAAACAGUGUAAUUAUCAAUAUGGCACAGAUUUAGUAUAUAUUCCAACUAUUGACCCAUCUGGAUUGCUCUCAUCAUAUAACAUAGAAGUUCAUCAAAAUUAUCCACACAAGUUUAGUACACUAAAUAUGUUUAAAGAUUUUUGUCAUCAAAUAAAAAUUGAUGAUGAUAGAUGUACAGAUGUAUUUUACUAUGUGUACAAUUUUUUGACACAAAACGACACAAAAGAAAAUGUAGAAAUUGAAAAUUUUUUAAAAACAUGUAUGCAACCUAUUUCUGAUAAUGAAACAAUACAAAGUGAAUCUGAUUCUGAUACAGAACCUAUAGAAACAAGAGACAACUUAAAUAAUGAACAAACAACUCAUGAAGAUUUAAUGAUGCAACUUGAAAAUAGUAUAAUAAAUGACCAAAUAAACACAUGUAAAAAAACUUUCAUCAAAUUAGUAACUUUUUAUUAAGAUAUUCCUAACAAAUUAAAAUCCAGUUCUACAAUUUAUAAUUAAAUUUAUGCUAUUUUUUUUUUUGAUACUUACAAUUUAUAUGUUUUAAUCAUUAUAUUUAAGUUAUAAUUUUUAAAAUACGAUAAUCCUUUGUCUCAUUUACGC
rnacentral:lncRNA from 1 species